rnacentral:lncRNA from 1 species
GAAGGACCUCAGCUUCUGAGACUGAAGAGACUUCUCUGCAGCCAUGAGCAAACAGCAUGGGAAAGCAAGGGCAUGAGGGAAAAGAGAAGUUCUCCCAAAGGAGGGGUUUUAACAUGGCUGAAGAAGGGAAUUAAGACUUCAGAUUGAGGCUUCAGCACCAUGUUAGUAUUUCUUCAUCCCUGAGCUGGAAUGGUUUCUCACUUUGCACUGUGGAGAUGCAAAAGAUGUAUGAGGAUACACCUUGUGGAGCAGAUACUGCACUGACCAUAAGGCUGUCCUGCAUCCCAUGGAAAAGGACCAGCCCAGCUCCCAGUGAAGACAUAAGAGAAACACAGAGAGAGCCUGCAGACUGGAAUUUCACCUUCUCACUCAAUUCAGCAUCCUCAGCAUCACCGAGUGCCCAGGAAAAGAGAGUGGAAAUCAAACAGAUCCAAACUGUACAAACAUCCAGGAGUUUUGCCUUCUGGCCUAAUGAUGCUACACAAGUACAGUUUGUCCAAAAAUGGGGAAAUUGUUCUUCAGUUAAGAGGGAUUUGGAAUUUCUGCCUUGUCAGAAGUUUGGAAGUGAACAUGAAGAUCCUUGUUUUAAAUUACAUUUCUGCCAGAGAUCUCCAUCUAUUUUUACUGAAAAUCCAAAUUUUAGAACAACCUCCUCAAUCUGUUGGUUUUCCUUACUCAUUUCUUACUUAUUUUUGUUACUUCCUUUGAGUAGGCAGUUCACUUAGCCCAUUCCUCUGCAAUGUCUUAUGCACAAAAAAAAAAGUGUUAAAAACUAAUGGCCUAGACUCCAUGUCAAAGCAUAAGGCCAGAUCUCACUCUGUAUUAUCUCUGUUACUACUCUGUUACUACAGAGAUAAUACAGUUUUGCAACUUGAAAAAUGUUUGUGGCAUUACGAAUUGCUUCUGUCCUCUCAAAUGUAUCACUUCUUGAGUGUGAGGUUGUGUUUCUGGAUGAAUUUAAAUUCAGCCAAUGUUUGCCUUGCUGUGAACAGAAGUAGUAUGAAACCAGUCUAUUAAAUAAAGUCUAAAGGGAGAAGGGCA